rnacentral:rRNA from 1 species
AGCUGCUCCUAGUACGAGAGGACCGGAGUGGACGAACCUCUGGUGUUCCGGUUGUCACGCCAGUGGCAUUGCCGGGUAGCUAUGUUCGGACGGGAUAACCGCUGAAAGCAUCUAAGCGGGAAGCCCCCUUCAAGAUUAGAUUUCCCUGGACCCUUGAGGUCCCUAAAGAGCCGUUGAAGACUACAACGUUGAUAGGCUGGGUGUGGAAGCGUAGUAAUGCGUGAAGCUAACCAGUACUAAUUGCUCGUGAGGCUUGGCCAUAUAACACCAAAGCACUUUGG